GUGGGGAAUUUUGGACAAUGGGCGCAAGCCUGAUCCAGCAAUGCCGCGUGCAGGAAGAAGGCCUUCGGGUUGUAAACUGCUUUUGUACGGAACGAAAAGGCUCUGGUUAAUACCUGGGGCUCAUGACGGUACCGUAAGAAUAAGCACCGGCUAACUACGUGCCAGCAGCCGCGGUAAUACGUAGGGUGCAAGCGUUAAUCGGAAUUACUGGGCGUAAAGCGUGCGCAGGCGGUUUUGUAAGACAGACGUGAAAUCCCCGGGCUCAACCUGGGAAUGGCGUUUGUGACUGCAAAGCGGGAGUGCGGCAGAGGGGGAUGGAAUUCCGCGUGUAGCAGUGAAAUGCGUAGAUAUGCGGAGGAACACCGAUGGCGAAGGCAAUCCCCUGGGCCUGCACUGACGCUCAUGCACGAAAGCGUGGGGAGCAAACAGGAUUAGAUACCCGGGUAGUCC
rnacentral:rRNA from 1 species